CCUUCAACUUUAAAUCUCCUCCAACCCCCAACCCCCUCUCCCCUCUCAACUCCAAGCCCUACCCCUGGUCUUCCUGGCCAACUAGCUGCACCCCAUCCUAUGCUGCAUCCCCCCAGAGCAGACACAUCUCUCCCAGCUCUGGGCUGGUGUCAAUGUCCUCACAUCCUUGUGGGUCAGCCUCCACCUCCUCAAGUCCCUUUGCUCUGGAUGAACUGUUCCUUGACUGGAUCUGUGUUUAUUUGCAGGCUUUCUUCAUUAAAAAAUAAAAGGUGCCAUUGUUCAUAUCUUAAGAAGUUGUAGAAAUCUCUUAACCCUGUUUUUGCAUUGCUGGGUGUAUUUCUUGUUUCUACCCAAAUGAUCUGCUAAGGUGAGAGUGUUAAUUUAUCCAAGUGGGAGUAUGUCAACAUCGCCCUGAAAUAAAGGUGCUGGCACUUAGAAUAAAACCCACACUCCUCAUGAGUGGGCCCCACUCACCCUGACCUCACCUCCCAUCUCUCCCCAACACUCACUAAGCACUGGCCACACAGCCUUGAUUCUGAUCUUCAGGUGUGCCCGGCCCACUCCUGCUUAGGGCUUUGCACACACCGUCCCCUCUGCUUUGAGCAUACUGUGCCUGCAUCUCUGCAGGCUGGCCCUCUCCUAUCAUUUGUGUCUCAGGUCAGCCUUCCCUGACCUCUCUGCGCUGCUCGAUGCUCCCCAGUGCCUAUCUACUGGGAUAUAUUUUCCUUGUUGUACUUGUCAAUAUCAGAAAUCAUUUUUAAAUUACAGUUUUUAUUUUUGUUACAUUUUUAUGUUUAUCUGUACUUACAUUUAUUUAUUUUUAUUAUAGUUUCACUUUAUUAUAUUUGCUCCACGUGAACUGGGAUCUUGCCCAUCUUGCUGGCUGCUGUAUCCUUAAUGCCUGAAAGAGUGCUGACUGCACAGGAAACAUUUACUUCACAUUUGCUGAAUGAAUAAUGCACCUUGGAGAGCAGCUGCUCAGAGUGCCUGCUGAAUUGAAUAGAAUCCUUUGAAAGU